rnacentral:rRNA from 1 species
AAUAGCCUAACGGCUGAACCAGCAACUUGGAAAAAUGAAUAGAAUUAGCUAGUUACAUAGUCUUAUGUGAUAUCAACUAAGUUGAAUAAAGUUUUGAGUAAAUCUAGAUAAUGACUUAAUUUACUUAUGUGUCUUGACCAAAAUACGUGCCAGCAGUCGCGGUAAGACGUUAAAGACUAGUGUUAUUCAUCAUUAGCAGGUUUAAAGGGUACUUAGACGGCAAAUAAAGCCAAGGUAGGGACUAAUUUGCUAGAGUUACUUGUGAAGGGGCUUGAAAGUACUAGAGGAGUAGAGAUAAAAUAUUACAAUACCUUUUUUCGAAAGAAAUAAAAUGGCACUGAUAAAGGCGAAAGCAUCCCCUUAUGUGAUAACUGACGUUAAAGGACGAAGGCUUUGGAUCGCGAACAGGAUUAGAUACCCUGGUAGUCAAAGGAGAAAAUGAUGAGUGCCAUAGAUUGGAAUAAGUUUAAUUUAUAAAUGAAAGUGCAAGCACUCCACCUUAAGAGUAAUGUGGCAACACCGAAAUUGAAAUCAUUAGACCGUUUCUGAANNNNNNNNNNNNNNNNNNNNNNUAAUUUGAUGAUCCGCAAAAAACCUUACCACAACUUGUAUAUUUAUAUUUCAAUAUAUUUACAAGCGUUGCACGGCUGUUUUAAGUUAAUGUCGUGAGAUUUUGGUUAAAUCCAUUAAAUUGACGUAAACCCUCGUUUUACUUUUAUGUAGAACGGUUCACCGUUAUAUUGGACAUGAUAAUAGGGAACAAGACAAGUCAUCAUGGCCUAAAUGUUGU